CUGAGCUCUGCACUGGCAGGAACCUAAAGCUGCUAUCAAAGGCAAGACAGAGCAGAGGGCUGGGCUUUAAAGGAAGACUGCGGAGUCAGGAGUUUUCUCUCCAGUUCCUCUUUUCCGAGAGAGUGCUACCUGCCAGAAAGGCACCUCCAGCUCCCCAACCCCCAAUCUUCUUCAGGCAAAAGCUAUCUCCAGAAAAUCAACCUCCAGAGUUGGGGCCCUGCUUUCCUUCCAUCCCUGGUGAGAUGUGGGAACUGACUGGACAGGCAGGGCAAGGCAAGGCCUUCUCUGUGUGUCCAUUUGCAUGUUUGAUUCUGCACUGCUUCCUGUUGUCAUCUUCUGCACUGUGUCUACCACGAAGAACUAUUUGAAGAAUACUUCUGAAGGAAAGCAACAGAUAGAGAGUAAGGAAAUAAGAAC
rnacentral:lncRNA from 1 species